CACAUUUAUCAUUCUUGUUUUAAUACUCGGAAACAUUUAAAAAACGUGUCUAUACAUUGGGUUUAGUGCAGCUAGACUGGCAGGAGAACCACCAUCAAGUCAGCCCAGAGGUCAAAAAUCAAGGAGAAGCUUCAACAGACUGUGGCUUCAGCAUCCUCGGGGUCAUCCUCCUCCAACAGGCUGUAGGACGCAUGACUCUGGAAAGGUCUCUGUAGAGGGUGAGCCAGCAGCUUGGCCAUGCAGUUGUGCAGCUCUAUAGCAGGUCCACUGAGAGAAACCUCAAAGCGAUAACACAUGCCCUUUGAGUCCAGGUUACAGAAGGAGGAGUAGUUGUCCUGCAGGAGAUAAAAACGUCGAGAGAGUCAAAGAGAGCUGUGAAUCAUUCAAGCAUCUGGAGAGGGAUCUUAUUUUCUGAAUUUUUGAAAAAUAAAUAUAUAUAUAUAUA